UGGAUAACCGUGACAAAUUACAGCUAAUACAUGCAGUCAGACCUGGUCCAAGGGUCGUAAUUAUUAGUAUUAAACCAUUUCCUUCGGGAGUGUGAUGAUUCAUAAUAAUCGAACGAAUCGCCUGGUGUGCGAUAAAUCAUUCAAGUUUCUGCCCUAUCAGCUUUGGAUGGUAGUGUAUUGGACUACCAUGGCAGUCACGGGUAACGGAGAAUUAGGGUUCGAUUCCGGAGAGGGAGCCUGAGAAACGGCUACCACAUCUACGGAAGGCAGCAGGAGCGAAAAUUGCCCAAUCCCGACACGGGGAGGCAGUGACGAGAAAUAACAACUCUUGGUUAUUCUAAGAAGUGUAAUGAGGAUAAUUUAAAAACCUUACCGAAAGCAAUUGGGAGGGCAAGUCUGGUGCCAGCAGCCGCGGUAAUUCCAGCUCCAAUAGCGUAUAUUAAAGUUGUUGCAGUUAAAAAGCUCGUAGUUGAAGUUCUGGCUGCUUGACCCUCGAGCUCUGUAGCCGGGGGAUCAGCAGUCAUCCGCUUGCAAACAUAUAUCGCCCUUAACCGGGUGGGUAUGUGAGUAAGCAUUUUACCUUGAGAAAAACAGAGUGUUCCAGGCAGGUUUGUCCGGAAUGCAUUAGCAUGGAAUAAUAGAAUAUGACUGAAGUCGAUUUAUUGGUUUGAGGCUUUAGUAAUGAUUAAUAGGAACAGUCGGGGGCAUUGGUACUUGACAGUCAGAGGUGAAAUUCUAGGAUUUGUCAAAGACUAACAAAUGCGAAAGCAUUUGCCAAGGAUGUUUUCAUUAAUCAAGAACGAAAGUUAGGGGAUCAAAGACGAUCAGAUACCGUCCUAGUCUUAACUAUAAACUAUACCGACUCGGAUUCAGAUGAAUCAUAAAGUUCAUUUGGGACCGUAGGAGAAAUCAAAGUUUUUGGGUUCUGGGGGAAGUAUGGUCGCAAGGCUGAAACUUAAAGGAAUUGACGGUUUUGCACCACCAUGGAGUGGAGUCUGCGGCUUAAUUUGACUCAACACUGGGAAACUCAUCAGGGCAAGAAGAUUGUAGGAUUGACAGAUUGAGAGUUCUUUCUUGAUUGGUCUAGUGGUGGUGCAUGGCCGUUCUUAGUUGGUGGAGUGAUUUGUCUGGUUAAUUCCGUUAACGAACGAGACCUUAACCUGCUAACUAGUACACCGAUGACAAAUCGGUGAUACUUCUUAGAGGGACUAUGUGAUGUAAUCACAUGGAAGUUUGAGGCAAUAACAGGUCUGUGAUGCCCUUAGAUGUCCUGAGCUGCACGCGUACUACAAUGGUGCUUUCAGCGAGCUUUUCCUGAUCCGAAAGGAUUUGGGUAAUCUUUUUAGUGAGCACCGUGCUUGGGAUAGAUCUUUGUAAUUAUGGAUCUUGAACUAGGAAUUCCUAGUAAGCACGUGUCAUCAGCACGUGCUGAUUACGUCCCUGCAAAAUGUACACACCGCCC
rnacentral:rRNA from 1 species